UACGUAGGGUGCAAGCGUUAAUCGGAAUUACUGGGCGUAAAGCGUGCGCAGGCGGUUGUGCAAGACAGAUGUGAAAUCCCCGGGCUUAACCUGGGAAUUGCAUUUGUGACUGCACGGCUAGAAUCUGGCAGAGGGGGGUAGAAUUCCACGUGUAGCAGUGAAAUGCGUAGAGAUGUGGAGGAAUACCGAUGGCGAAGGCAGCCCCCUGGGCCAAUACUGACGCUCAUGCACGAAAGCGUGGGGAGCAAACAGG
rnacentral:rRNA from 1 species